CCCUUAGAUGUUCUGGGCCGCACGCGCGCUACACUGACGAAUGCAACGAGCUUAUAACCUUGGCCGAAAGGUCUGGGUAAUCUCCAAAUUUCGUCGUGAUGGGGAUAGAUUAUUGCAAUUAUUAAUCUUCAACGAGGAAUGCCUAGUAAGCGCAAGUCAUCAGCUUGCGUUGAUUACGUCCCUGCCCUUUGUACACACCGCCCGUCGCUCCUACCGAUUGAAUGGUCCGGUGAAGCGUUCGGACCGUGGCCUUUGGACGGUUCGCCGUCUGUUGGCUGCGGGAAGUUCGUUAAACCUUAUCAUUUAGAGGAAGGAGAAGUCAUAACA
rnacentral:rRNA from 1 species